rnacentral:rRNA from 1 species
GCCAUAGCAAACUCCGAAUACCGAAGAGUGGAAUCACGGGAGACAGACAUCGGGUGCUAACGUCCGGUGUCGAGAGGGCAAUAACCCAGACCACCAGCUAAGGUCCCAAAGAUUGGCUCAGUGGGAAACGAAGUGGGAAGGCCGAAACAGUCAGGAGGUUGGCUUAGAAGCAGCCAUCCUUUAAAGAAAGCGUAAUAGCUCACUGAUCGAGUCGUCCUGCGCGGAAGAUGUAACGGGGCUUAAGCCAGUCACCGAAGCUGUGGGUAUUAGAGAUGAUCCUCUGAUACGGUAGGAGAGCGUUCCGUAGGCCGGAGAAGGUGCAUUGAUAAGUGUGCUGGAGGUAUCGGAAGUGCGAAUGCUGACAUGAGUAACGAUAAAGGGGGUGAAAAGCUCCUUCGCCGUAAGCCCAAGGUUUCCUGCGCAACGUUCAUCGGCGCAGGGUGAGUCGGCCCCUAAGGUGAGGCAGAAAUGCGUAGCUGAUGGGAAGCAGGUGAAUAUUCCUGCACCGUUGUAAGAAUGCGAUGGGGGGACGGAUCGCAGAAGGUUGUCC